CCAAAAAGAUCGUCCGAAGAUAAUAAAUGAAGACCAAGCAAGGAAUUAUAACAUGGGGAAGGGCAUAUUCUGAAGAGAAUUGCACGCAUUAAAUUCCCACAAAGACACCCAAAAUCAUCAACCUCAGUUGGGUGGAUGCAUUUGAUUUUGAAUUUGAAUUUGAUGAUGGAGUAAAGUGGAGAAACACCGUGUUUCAAAACGACAACUUGGGAGUUGAGUAGGGUUGCAGAGAAAGAUGAUGUCUUCUUCUUGUUAUUAAGAUAUGCACAAAAAAAACUUGUUGGCCUUGAUGCUCUCUAUUUCCGUAUUCAUUCGUCAGGAAAUAAAUCCACAUGCUAAACUUAAAGCAUUGCAAUUCGAUUGAUGUUCUGCGAGCGCCA